AUACAGUAUACAGCUAUCCAAAGCCUAACACACCCCGAGAAAUCACAGACUGAGCUCCCGGGUCCACGUCAGCUGUGGCCACACCCCUCGGCAGCAGGAGCCGGGGGCCAACUUGGCCCACCCCUUGCUGACCCACUAAGGGAGGACCCGUUGGCUCGCCGAGGGCAGCUCUGAGGCCGGGCCUCUCGUGAACCAGCCCAGCCCUGCGGCUCAGUGCUUGAGCCCUCCUGCCUGGCCGGGCCAGCCUGGGCCACAGCCGCACAGGAGAAGCCAGCGCGGGGAGCCACCGGCCAGGAGUCCCUCCAGUGCAGCCCCACGCGGCCGGCCUCACCGACUCGUCACACAGGAGCAUCAGGAUCUUUCUGGUAGUUUUCGGGGAAAUUUGCUUCGGCAGGUCGAGGUUUUACCAGUUGUUCAAAAGAUAAAAUGAGAUCAUGUAAAUGAAGAUAUUUUGGAAAAGUACAAGAUACCAUCUUGCUGGUGGAAGGCAAAAUGGUCCCAUCCGUACGGAGCAAUAUCCAGCAAAACUACAGAGGCGUUUACCCUUGGAUCCAGCAGUCCCACGUUUAAGGAUCUAUCCCAACAAUUCACCAGGAAAAAUAUGCAGACCCAAACGCACAGAGCUAUUUGCUGCAGCAAUGUUUGUAAGAGCAACAACAAACAAACAAAAACCCAGAAAUAUCCCAAGUGGCCACCAACAGAACACCAUCUGAAUAAGUUACAGCUCAGCCACACAACGGAAUACCAAAUAAAAACGGCAUGAAGAAUGUGUCUUCUUACUACUAUAGACUGACCUCCAAGAUGCUUUGUAAGUGAAAAAAGCAAGAUGGAGAAAAGCAUAUGCUCUCAUUUAAGAAGUGGGUCUAGGGCGCCUGGGUGGCUCAGAUGGUUAAGCGUCUGCCUUCAGCUCAGGUCGUGAUCCCAG